AUUGAACGCUGGCGGCAGGCUUAACACAUGCAAGUCGAGCGAGCGGCGGACGGGUGAGUAAUGUCUGGGAAACUGCCUGAUGGAGGGGGAUAACUACUGGAAACGGUAGCUAAUACCGCAUACCAUCAGAUGUGCCCAGAUGGGAUUAGCUAGUAGGUGGGGUAAUGGCUCACCUAGGCGACGAUCCCUAGCUGGUCUGAGAGGAUGACCAGCCACAUGGGAACUGAGACACGGUCCAGACCCCUACGGGAGGAAGAAGUGGGGAAUAUGGCAAAAGGGGGGCAAGCCUGAUGCAGCCAGGCCGGGUGUGUGAAGAAGGCUUCCGGGUUGUAAAGCACUUUCAGCGAGGAGGCGUUACUCGCAGAAGAAGCACCGGCUAACUCCGUGCCAGCAGCCGCGGUAAUU
rnacentral:rRNA from 1 species